GUCCAGGAGCGGGAAUCUGGACAUGGCACCUGCCCGGUAAGCAGAAGGUUGUGGGUUCGAUUCCCGCUCCUGGACA